AUGAACGCUGGCGGCGUGCCUAAUACAUGCAAGUCGAGCGAACAGACGAGGAGCUUGCUCCUCUGACGUUAGCGGCGGACGGGUGAGUAACACGUGGAUAACCUACCUAUAAGACUGGGAUAACUUCGGGAAACCGGAGCUAAUACCGGAUAAUAUAUUGAACCGCAUGGUUCAAUAGUGAAAGACGGUUUUGCUGUCACUUAUAGAUGGCUCCGCGCCGCAUUAGCUAGUUGGUAAGGUAACGGCUUACCAAGGCAACGAUGCGUAGCCGACCUGAGAGGGUGAUCGGCCACACUGGAACUGAGACACGGUCCAGACUCCUACGGGAGGCAGCAGUAGGGAAUCUUCCGCAAUGGGCGAAAGCCUGACGGAGCAACGCCGCGUGAGUGAUGAAGGUCUUCGGAUCGUAAAACUCUGUUAUUAGGGAAGAACAAAUGUGUAAGUAACUAUGCACGUCUUGACGGUACCUAAUCAGAAAGCCACGGCUAACUACGUG
rnacentral:rRNA from 1 species